rnacentral:Y_RNA from 1 species
GGCUGGUCUGAAGGUAGUGAGUUAUCUCAAUUGAUUGUUCACAGUCAGUUACAGAUCGAACUCCUUGUUCUACUCUUUCCCCCCUUCUCAUUACUGCACUUGACUAGUCUUUA